GGCGACAUAGCCAAGUGGCAAAGGCAGAUGAUUGCAAAUCUUCUAUCCCCAGUUCGAGUCUGGGUGUCGCCU
rnacentral:tRNA from 1 species